rnacentral:tRNA from 1 species
GCGGAGGUGGCAGAGUGGUCAAAUGCGCCAGCCUUGAGAGCUGGUAUCCGAAAGGAUACGCGAGUUCAAAUCUCGUCCUCCGCG